GAUGAAGAACGCAGCGAAAUGCGAUAAGUAGUGUGAAUUGCAGAAUUCAGUGAAUCAUCGAAUCUUUGAACGCACAUUGCGCCCUUUGGUAAUCCAAAGGGCAUGCCUGUUCGAGCGUCAUUUGUACCCUCAAGCUUUGCUUGGUGUUGGGCGUCUUGUCUCUAGCUUUGCUGGAGACUCGCCUUAAAGUAAUUGGCAGCCGGCCUACUGGUUUCGGAGCGCAGCACAAGUCGCACUCUCUAUCAGCAAAGGUCUAGCAUCCACUAAGCCUUUUUUUCAACUUUUGACCUCGGAUCAGGUAGGGAUACCCGCUGAACUUAAGCAUAUCAAUAAGCGGAGGA
rnacentral:misc_RNA from 1 species